rnacentral:rRNA from 1 species
AGCUCAAAUUUGAAAUCUGGCGUAAGCCCGAGUUGUAAUUUGUAGAGGAUGCUUCUGGGUAGCGGCCGGUCUAAGUUCCUUGGAACAGGACGUCAUAGAGGGUGAGAAUCCCGUAUGUGACUGGCUUGCACCCUCCACGUAGCUCCUUCGACGAGUCGAGUUGUUUGGGAAUGCAGCUCUAAAUGGGAGGUAAAUUUCUUCUAAAGCUAAAUACCGGCCAGAGACCGAUAGCGCACAAGUAGAGUGAUCGAAAGAUGAAAAGCACUUUGGAAAGAGAGUUAAAAAGCACGUGAAAUUGUUGAAAGGGAAGCGCCCGCAACCAGACUUUGCGGCGGUGUUCGGCUGGUCUUCUGACCGGUUUACUCGCCGCCGUGAGGCCAUCAUCGUCUGGGACCGCUGGAUAAGACCUGAGGAAUGUAGCUCCCUUCGGGGUGUGUUAUAGCCUCUGGUGAUGCAGCGCGUCUCGGGCGAGGUCCGCGCUUCGGCAAGGAUGAUGGCGUAAUGGUUGUCGGCGGCCCGUCUUGAAACACGGACCAAGGAGUCUAACAUCUAUGCGAGUGUUCGGGUGUCAAACCCCUACGCGUAAUGAAAGUGAACGGAGGUGGGAACUUUUUGUGCACCAUCGACCGAUCCUGAUGUCCUCGGAUGGAUUUGAGUAAGAGCAUAGCUGUUGGGACCCGAAAGAUGGUGAACUAUGCCUGAAUAGGGUGAAGCCAGAGGAAACUCUGGUGGAGGCUCGCAGCGGUUCUGACGUGC